rnacentral:miRNA from 1 species
CUGUGCCUGCUACCCAUCCCUUGCA